UACGAAGGGGGCUAGCGUUGUUCGGAUUUACUGGGCGUAAAGCGCACGUAGGCGGGUUGUUAAGUCAGGGGUGAAAUCCUGGAGCUCAACUCCAGAACUGCCUUUGAUACUGGCAACCUAGAGGCUGGAAGAGGUUAGUGGAAUUCCCAGUGUAGAGGUGAAAUUCGUAGAUAUUGGGAAGAACACCAGUGGCGAAGGCGGCUAACUGGUCCAGAUCUGACGCUGAGGUACGAAAGCGUGGGGAGCAAACAGG
rnacentral:rRNA from 1 species